GGCACUAUAGCCAAGUGGUUACGGCGUUUGAUUAGAAAUCAAAUCCUCUUUGAGGGCGCAAGUUCAAAUCUUGCUGGUGUCG
rnacentral:tRNA from 1 species